GUUCUAACGUUGACCCGUAAUCCGGGUUGCGGACAGUGUCUGGUGGGUAGUUUGACUGGGGCGGUCUCCUCCUAAAGAGUAACGGAGGAGCACGAAGGUUGGCUAAUCCUGGUCGGACAUCAGGAGGUUAGUGCAAUGGCAUAAGCCAGCUUGACUGCGAGCGUGACGGCGCGAGCAGGUGCGAAAGCAGGUCAUAGUGAUCCGGUGGUUCUGAAUGGAAGGGCCAUCGCUCAACGGAUAAAAGGUACUCCGGGGAUAACAGGCUGAUACCGCCCAAGAGUUCAUAUCGACGGCGGUGUUUGGCACCUCGAUGUCGGCUCAUCACAUCCUGGGGCUGAAGUAGGUCCCAAGGGUAUGGCUGUUCGCCAUUUAAAGUGGUACGCGAGCUGGGUUUAGAACGUCGUGAGACAGUUCGGUCCCUAUCUGCCGUGGGCGCUGGAGAACUGAGGGGGGCUGCUCCUAGUACGAGAGGACCGGAGUGGACGCAUCACUGGUGUUCGGGUUGUCAUGCCAAUGGCACUGCCCGGUAGCUAAAUGCGGAAGAGAUAAGUGCUGAAAGCAUCUAAGCACGAAACUUGCCCCGAGAUGAGUUCUCCCUGACUCCUUGAGAGUCCUGAAGGAACGUUGAAGACGACGACGUUGAUAGGCCGGGUGUGUAAGCGCAGCGAUGCGUUGAGCUAACCGGUACUAAUGAACCGUGAGGCUUAACCUU
rnacentral:rRNA from 1 species